rnacentral:tRNA from 1 species
GAAGGGAUAUCUCAGGGGUACAGUGUGUGCUUAGCAUGCACAAGGUCCUGGGUUCAAUUCCCAGCACCUCCA